AAACUGCCCUGAAAGUAACAGAGUUAUAUUCUCCUUGGACUCCGAGUAGCGCGGUGCUCCGUUCGCUGGCGUGACGACUGCUGACCAUCACACACCUACUGCUCGCACACCCAGCCAGCCUGUAGCUUCUCCCACAGAGGCAACAGGUCAGAGAAUUCCCAGUGCAAAAGUGUGUGGUCUGUGACAAAAAGAGAAGGCUACCGAGUGAAGUGCUGCAAACACCACAUAAAAUAUCGGAGUGAUGCUGAGCCUGUCUUGCUGGCUCGUAGGCAUGUACUAGUGCCCUGCUGGAUCAGAAAUAUUGAAAGGAGUAGGUCUGAGAGAGAAAGUGCUGCUUACUGAGGCACCAAUUUGCUUCCAGGAGAGGCAUUUCUAGCCCUGCAUCACACAGGAGGACCUGCUCGGGCUCUCCCAGGAGCGAGCAUGUACAAGUAUCUGUGUCUUCACUGAAAACCUCAAUCCAGCUUUUUUUGCCAUUAGGCACCUAAUUCAGAAGCAUCUUGAGUUGACAUGAUGUCCAGCUAAAGCACAUCGUGUGCAGUGAGCAACACCAUGAUGUAUUCUUACCGCCAACACUGUUUUUCAUGUUGGUUAUUUAAAAUAAUGUUUGGACUCAUGUCCAGUAAAAACACAGGUAACCUCUAAGGGUUGGGUGGGGUUCAGUGACUAUUUUUGGGGAAACACAGGAAACUUCUGAGACAAUUUCACCUAUGGGGUGGUGAGAAGAGUAAAAUAAAAAGUCAUCAUUUGUUGAUGUAAUGAAGCUUCUCCCCUUCCCUACAGACACACAUGUAAACACACACACACACAUGCACAUAUGCGUUGUUUUAACAAGCACUGGAGAUGACCCAGAGUUUCCAGUUUCAAAUGUAAACUUGUCUAAGUUUUGAGAAUUUAUCUCAAAAUUUUCCUCAAAUCUGGGUUUACAACACUUGAGGUUUGACUUGAUAGCACUGAGGUUAAACCUUUGGAAUAGAUAAGAGGUCUUCAAAUCUGGAUUUAAUUCACUAAUCCACUUCUGUUAAUUUUUCUCUCAUAACUUCACAUAUCAUGGUUGAAAUUUUAUACCUGUAGUCCAGUGCAGGUGGGAGUGUAACACACAAAUAAAUACCUAUUUGCCUGGUAUCUUUGCCUACAGACUACAAUGUGCAUGAACAAUAACAUUUAAGCCUGUUAAUCAAUGAGUACAAAAUUGUACCUGCCAAGCAAAGACAUGUUGUAGAAAUGCUUUUAAAAUGAGCUUUAUAAUGCCCCACAACAUUUGGGGGAACAGAGGGUUGAUAGGCAGCAGUGAUGGCCAGUUGCCUAGAAUAUCAGUUCCUCUUCAAUAACUUCUGUUUGCCAACUAUGAAUUUAUAAACAGUUAUUUUCUUUA